CACGUAGGGACCAAGCGUUGCCCGGAUUCAUUGGGCGUAAAGAGCUCGUAGGCGGUUCAGUAAGUCGGGUGUGAAACCUCCAGGCUCAACCUGGAGACGCCACCCGAUACUGCUGUGACUAGAGUCCGGUAGAGGAGCACGGAAUUCCUGGUGUAGCGGUGAAAUGCGCAGAUAUCAGGAGGAACACCAGCGGCGAAGGCGGUGCUCUGGGCCGGAACUGACGCUGAGGAGCGAAAGCGUGGGGAGCGAACAGGA
rnacentral:rRNA from 1 species